rnacentral:rRNA from 1 species
AGUGAACGCUGGCGGUAGGCCUAACACAUGCAAGUCGAACGGCAGCACAGUAAGAGCUUGCUCUUACGGGUGGCGAGUGGCGGACGGGUGAGGAAUACAUCGGAAUCUACUUUUUCGUGGGGGAUAACGUAGGGAAACUUACGCUAAUACCGCAUACGACCUACGGGUGAAAGCAGGGGAUCUUCGGACCUUGCGCGAUUGAAUUAGCCGAUGUCGGAUUAGCUAGUUGGCGGGGUAAAGGCCCACCAAGGCGACGAUCCGUAGCUGGUCUGAGAGGAUGAUCAGCCACACUGGAACUGAGACACGGUCCAGACUCCUACGGGAGGCAGCAGUGGGGAAUAUUAGACAAUGGGCGCAAGCCUGAUCCAGCCAUACCGCGUGGGUGAAGAAGGCCUUCGGGUUGUAAAGCCCUUUUGUUGGGAAAGAAAAGCAGCAGGUUAAUACCCCGCUGUUCUGACGGUACCCAAAGAAUAAGCACCGGCUAACUUCGUG